UCAAGGUAGGUCAUUUCACAGGUGGGAAAUUCGGUGGACAAUCAUAUCACGUGUUCAUAUGCUAUUUUUGCCUUGGCUCACGUCAGGGUAAAGAAAAAUGUAUGGAUAUAUUCGCUACGCUGAAAUACGCGUAUAAAUCUAGAGAUUGGGAACGACAGUUUUCUGUCCCCGUUCGACGCUGUUAUAAGAAAUCUUAAACUUAAUCUUUCGAGGUUAAAUGGGAAUGAACAGCGGUUAGUGAUGUUUGAAUAUUAUUCAAUAAUUUGUUUAGUGCAAUUGUAGAAGAUCUACUAGCAAUAGUAGAUUUACCUCGAUACCGAUUACUGACUUAUCUAUUUGA
rnacentral:RNase_P_RNA from 2 species